rnacentral:piRNA from 1 species
UUUCACCCAUUUUUCAGUUUG